rnacentral:rRNA from 1 species
AGUGAACGCUGGCGGCGUGCCUAAUACAUGCAAGUCGAACGGAGUGGCGCACGGGUGUGUAAUGUAUAGCUAAUCUGCCCUACACUAGAGGACAACAGUUGGAAACGGCUGCUAAUACUCUAUAGUGUAGGUUGAGGCUAUAUUGUAUCAGCUAGUUGGUGAGGUAAUGGCUCACCAAGGCUAUGACGCAUAACUGGUCUGAGAGGAUGAUCAGUCACACAGGAACUGAGACACAGGGCAGAAUCCUACGAGAGGCAGCAGUAGGGAAUAUGGCUCAAUGGGGGAAACCCUGAAGCAGCAGCGCCGCGUGGAGGAUGACACUUUUCGGAGCGUAAACUCCUUUUGUUAGGGAAGCGGUACCUAACGAAUAAGCACCGGCUAACUCCGUGCCAGCCGCCGCGAUAAUAC